UUUUCCAUGGGCGCUGACAUGUUGAAGCACCGCAGUGAAUAACUCAACCCAAACUUGCCAAAGCGACUUGUGAUAAUUAUUCAAUUGGUGAUUUUGUUGGUGUAUUUCUAUAAGAAAGGUGUACGAUUAAUAUCAGUUGAGGAUUAUAUCUCUGUGAUUUAUUUCAAUUGUGGAUUAGUAAUUAUUUUAGUUAUGGGCCAAUCAAGAGAAAGGAAGAUCAGCGAGACCGAACAGCUUAUAAUUGACAGAAACAACAUGCCGGACGCGGACACGUAUCGAGAUUGUACCCGAAUAAUAUUUCUGUGUAUGGCCUGGUAUUCAGUCAGUGCCACAAAUAAUGUGGUGGGGAAGAUGUUAUUGAAUGAUUUCCCAUACCCUGUGACUGUAACAAUGAUACAGCUCCUCUCCAUAUCCUUUUAUUUACCUCCAAUAUUGAAGUGUCAAAAUUUCAAAGACACAACACGUCACAUCAGCUGGAGUUACUGGUGGAAGAUGAUAUUACCACUUGGUUUAGGAAAAUUCUUUGCCUCUGUUUCAAGUCACAUUAGUAUAUGGAAAGUGCCAGUAUCUUAUGCACACACAGUGAAGGCAACCAUGCCUUUCUUUGUCGUCGUUUUAUCAAGAGUGCUUCUGAGAGAACAACAAACAACUAAAGUUUACCUGUCGUUGGUACCAAUCAUAGCUGGUGUGGUGAUAGCAACUGUCACAGAAUUAUCUUUCAACUCCAUUGGUUUAGUUAGUGCCCUCAGUGCUGCCCUCACAUUUUCACUCCAGAGUAUAUACACAAAAAAAUGUUUAAAAGAUACACAACUGCAUCAUCUGUACCUGCUGAUGGUACUGGCGCGGUUAGCAACAUUGUUAUUCAUACCACUCUGGUUGAUGUUAGAUAUCAGGGUGAUUCUCACAGACCACACUUUUGUACACAGUCCCAAUUGGACGCGGACAUUUGUUCUGCUCCUGGUUGAUGGUUUCUGUAAUUUUGCCCAGAAUGUGAUUGCCUUCUCCGUGUUAGCUCUAGUCACGCCCCUGAGUUAUGCCGUUGCCAAUGCUACGAAACGAAUAAUGAUCAUCACAGUGUCGUUGAUGCUGCUGCAAAAUCCUGUCACAUCGGUGAAUGUCAUGGGAAUGUUUUUAGCCAUAUUUGGAGUCUUAUUAUAUAAUAAGGCAAAGUAUGACCAGAAUCAAGAACGAAAACGACAAGAAGUCCUUCCAUAUGUCAAGAGUGAAGCUGACUUUAACAAGUUAAAUCAUAUGCAUUUGCAUCGUUCAAACUCUAUAGCUUUCUCGUCAGAGGAUCAUGUGACUGUAGUCCCAAAUAAUAACUUGCCUUUAGGUGCUACACCAGAGGAGGAAUAUCACCGGCCGACGUUUUAUCAAAAUGGCGAUCUCAGUACGUAUUCGAAAUUUGGUGGAAGGCCACUUUAUCAUGUGUGAUGGUGACGUUUUCUUAGGCAUUUGACAUUUCGGUAGUAGGAACUCGUGCUUCAGAUUUUCAGAAUGGUGCUAUUAGCCAAAUGGUCAAUGUUCUGGACAAAUCAUUGAGUAAGUUUUGAGUUUCUGGUACAACAGAAAGUUAAAGGCCUACUGCUUACGUGUUCAACUGAGGAAAAGGGAUGGUUUUGCAAUGAAAAUCCAGCCUGUCAUAGCAGAAACUGCACCUACAAUUACCAGUUGAAUUUGGCAGAUUUUGUGUCACUUGGUGUUAGAAAAUGGCACUAGUUAGUCAAACUACAGGAAAAUACAAAGUAAAGAUCGCAGGCUUAUCACCUUGCGUUCUCAAUGAUUUGUCCAGCAUUCCAAUGAAUGACCAAAUGAAGAUCAAAACUUCACUCAGCUUACUCUAAACUUCGCCGCUGUGUGUAUUUACUUAAGUUGAAGGUGCUGCUGCUGCUCUGUACUGUUAUGUGUGUUGUGUUCAUGUAUGUUAAUUCCAGUUGUCGUGACAAAUCAUUUAAAACCUUAAGGUACAAUGGCCCAGGUACUAUGUAGCAAGAUAUUUGAGUAUACUAGGAGAAUUUAUUCAUAUUUUCCCUAUGGUGUGGAGUUAUUACAUGUAUGUUGUUAUCAAACACACCAGAGUAUUGAAUAUCAUCAUACAUUAUAACAGUUAUAGAUUAAUCUAUACUUGCUCAUAAACAUGUGGACCAAAUACAUCAGGCCAGGUUGUUCAGGCCCACAUGGGGUAAAAUAAUUUUCAGUUCUUUACGGCGUUGUCAAAUUACUGGUCAAUACUUAUACAAGACAAUUUGUCAGAUUUCAUUUCGUCAAAAGUUUUCUUUCAAUUUGGGUAUUUGGUUUUGCUGUCCUUCAUUCAUUUUCUGUCCUUCAGCAUGAAAUGCUUUCAUUAAGUAACAUUUGCUUUUCUAUUUGCCUGCUUUACCUGUUCCCUUUUCUCCAGUAAUCUGACAAUCAGAGACCUUGGUCACACCUUCGUUUAGAUCAUGACUAGUUGUCCAUUUGAAACUUCCUCCACAUUGGUGCUUUCAACCUAUGCUUCCCAUUUGUCUCUCAAAAUUGUCUAUCUUUAUGUUUUUGUUUCAAUUUUGUUGUUUAAUAGUCCAUCGCAGUAGUUCAGAGACUGAAGGUUAGUGUCCGCUGAGUUCUUGCAUGUCUGAACUGCAUCUUACAUGUAACUUACUUACAUGUAUUUAGUUUACCAUCUUUGUUUGUUUUUGGUUUAUUAUGGUAGAUUUUUCCACCAUUCAUCAAUACUUAUUCUACUUUUUUGAUUUUUAGAAGGGUGGUGGUACUAGUCUUUUAGAAGUUAAAUAUGAUUUGACCUUAAAUUAAAAUGAAAAAGUUACGGGCUUCCAUGUAUUCCAAAGUGCCAUCCCUGUCAGGUUUUGUUCACUAGUGUUUUACCUAAACAUCAUAUUUUGGCUGAGUAUUAUAAACCAGCAAAUAACGAAUGCUGUAAGUACAAGAAGUACAUCUUGAUCUACCGUCGAGGACUCAAAAAUUAUUGAAUCAUUUACGAUGGCAGACUUGUUCCAAGUGAACUUCUCAGCCACUUGACGUAGUUGUUCUGGUUCGUAGUACUCGAGCACUCAGUCAGCAUGUGAGCCAAAAAUGAUAAUUCCUAUCGUACAGCAUGGGGAUGGAUAUGUACAUUGCUCAUUAUCAGAAUAGGACUGCAUCAAAACAUCUGGAGAGUCUUGACUGUUAGAAACAGAUGUUGCCACCAGUAAUGGAUGAUAAUGAUGUGAUACUAAGUAUGUAUAUGGUGUGCAUGAAACCGCAACUACGCUCAUCAAAUAAUGUGCUUUGAAUGUAUAUCAUGCAUAAAAGAUAUUGUCCUUCAAUAGCAUGUUUACGGUGCAUAAAAAAUACACGAUUUUAAAGUGAUUUGCAUAUUCAUGAGUCCAUAACUCAGUGUUAGUAUCUCACCACUUGAACUACAGGCUAUGAGGAUGAUCAAUGCAUGUAAAUGUAAAUGUAUAGUUAUUUCACCUAACUAGAUACAAAAUACAUUGAGCACAGUAUGCAAAAUCCCUGUUAGUGUUGGUGCAAGACUAGUUCAGGUGAUGACCACUUUUGAAAAAGCCUGUCUGUAGAUAAUCAACUGAAGAUUUUACAUUUUUUGUGAUGUGGACAUAUUUUGACCAUCAUGUGACAUCAUUUGAUGAUGUCAUGUGGGCAAAUCUUACAACCAUUCCCGAUGACACUGAAGCUGUCCUUGUCCUUGUCCAAAACCAGGCUGAAGGUGUAAAAAACGCUGAAUAUGCACUUAUUGGAAUUUGCCUUGGGUUUGAGUUUACUGAUGGCCUUGAAGCCACGAACACCGGGCUCGGACCCCACCAAUGUCUCCAAAGACCCAAGGGAUCAUAUCAUGUUAAAAACGUUGUGCUGCUUUAAUGGCAUUGGUGUUUUAUUUUUUUCUACUCUGAAGGGUAUUUAAUGGCAAAUGAAUGGCAUAAUGGUUUUAACUCCACAUCCUCAAGAGAGACUGCAUGAAACCUAGAGAGGAAAGGUACAUGUAUAUGGGGUCCUGAUUGAAGAGAUUGCAGCAAGUCUUUUUAAAAGCAUUCUGGGCCUCUACCACCAGGCCAUGAUUGUGAUUUUGUCUCCUCCAAAUGAAAUACAUGCAUGAGUUGAUCCUUUGCUGUCUUCCCUUGAGUAUAAAGACUACUACUUGUGUGUGAUAGGGCAUGCUGGGUGUAGUACUGCAUCUUCCAAAAGAAGUAUGUGUCAACACUGACACUUCCACAGCACAGUCUAUUUGGAAAGUUGUCCCAGAGACUGGAAUAGAGGAAGACUUCACAACCAUAGACUUUCUAUAAUCACUACAGUGUGUUUCAAAACGAUAAUGGAAACAAAAUAUGGAGAGGCAAUCAUGUGGGAAGCUGGCAUAACUGAAACAGUGCUGCUUAAGACGAUCCUGAUCAACAGUAGCUGGAGCUGAAAUGUAUUGCCCCAGGGUGGAGAAAUGCAGGGGCGUGUCCAGGAUUCUGAGCAGAGGGGGUCUGAAUGCCAUAGCAAUAAAAAUCCCUGAGGGGUGAGCGUGAGGGGUAUCCAUCAUGGAAUACUGAAAAGUUUUUAAAAUCUUAAAUGCCAAAGAUGCCAUUUUCUAGCAUUUUGGCCGUGACAUAUCUGUAACACAGACCUCAAUCGAACAUGUCCUGUGCUAAAUCUAUACUCGAUCUGUGCGGGCAGGAGGGGUCCAGCUGAGACCCCCUGGACACGCCCCUGAUUCGAUCUGGGUUGGUAUAGAGACAUAAUGUAAGAGGGCCAUAAAAUUGGACUUACUUGGUUUCUUUUCUUUUCUAAUAUUUAGUUAUCUAUAUUUUCGAGAUUAUAUGUUUGGUUGAAGUUAUGUUUUGAAUAAGAUUGUUCAAAAUGUAUUGCUAUUGCUUCAAUGAGUGAAACAUCAUCAUUUGUAGAGUAAAAUCAUUUGUUCUGUGGUUGUGUUGCUGCAUGUUUUCCUGUUUGAGUUCAAAGGUUUUUAAAGGGAGCUCUUAGUCACUGCCACUUAACAUUCUCCACAUAUAUCUGGGCUGAUGGAACUCCUCCAACAAGGACUUGACCACACAAGAACCAGGAAACAUGAUGAAGACUGAAGAUGUACGAACACAUUCAUUCACUUAACUUCUAACUCCUAUUAAUGUACUACUAGGCAUUUUUAUUUAAUUAGACCAUCAUUAUUUAGAUUCCACCUGAACAUUGCUCAUUUCAUCAAAACAGCAGAUAAAUUUAAUCUGUCAUACAUGUAGUUUGCACCAACCUGACCAAUGCCUCAUACUGCUUAACGAGACUCCGACAAGAACUGUCAUUUAUUGUAGCGUUUCAAACAGAAGCUCAUGAGGGCUGGUUAAGGUAUUGUUGGGUUGAACUGUAAAUAUGCUUCUUGUUUAAGGAGGAGUGCAAGUUAUUAUUGGGCCAGCACUAACGCAUACUUCAGAGAUCCUGUGAAUUGGGUGCUGUACAUGUAUGAAAAGUUGUUAGGAUAUUUGUGUCAUUUUCCUCAUGCACCCAACAGUGCUUCCAAACAGGAACACUUCAAGCAUACUAAGACCGCUCCUUCUGAUUUUUUCUUAGACAAUGUUAUAGUGUGAAUAGUUGUAAUACAUGACCAUGUGCCAAGUUCAGAUGAGCUACAUGAACAUUUAUCAUACCGUUAGUAGAAUAAGAACAACGUCAAUCCUUUUAAGUUUUAGGCACAAGUAAGUUACAUGUAUCAUUCAUUGAUGAGCCCGAAUCGAACUUGACCCAAGGACAGAAUGUUUUUAUAUGAAAAACUUGCAUAUACUGGUAACAGGACAUUAGUAUACUGUAGUACGGCAAGCCUGAUAUUUUUCGCGACUUUUGCAAGAGGGGGUAGUAUACUCAUGAACUCAUGGGGCGCGAAAAUGUUUCACUUAUUGGUUUUAUCAUUGGAAAUGCACCCAAUUUGCAACAACAAAUUGAAGCAAAAUCUGAAAUUAAUGCUUUCGCGAAAAUAUAGGGCCACAAAAGGGUUUACAGUAGUUUGCUAAUACUGUACAACACUGGUAUAUCAAGCUUUGUAUUAAAUUGCAUGAAAAGUAAUGGAUAAGGAUUGUAGCAGUUCAUGGAAAAGAUAAGAAAUGUAUAUUUUUGAUGUAAAUAAAUGAAAAACG